AUUGAACGCUGGCGGCAGGCCUAACACAUGCAAGUCGAACGAGUGGCGGACGGGUGAGUAAUGUCGGGGAAACUGCUUGAUGGCUGGGGAUAACUACGGGAAACGGUAGCUAAUACCGCAUACCAUCAAAUGUGCCCAGGUUGGAUUAGCUAGUUGGUUGGGUAACGGCUGACCAAGGCCACGAUCCCUAGCUGGUCUGCGAGGAUGACCAGCCACACUGGAACUGAGACACGGUCCAGACUCCUACGGGAGGCAGCAGUGGGGAAUAUUGCACAAUGGGCGAAAGCCUGAUGCAGCCAUGCCGCGUGUAUGAAGAAGGCCUUCGGGUUGUAAAGUACUGUCAGCGGGGAGGCGUUACCCGCAGAAGAAGCACCGGCUAACUCCGUGCCAGCAGCCGCGGUAAUUC
rnacentral:rRNA from 1 species